GUUUCAGCCGCCGCGGUAAUACGGAGGGUGCGAGCGUUAAUCGGAAUUACUGGGCGUAAAGCGUACGUAGGCGGUUUGUUAAGUCGGAUGUGAAAUCCCCGGGCUCAACCUGGGUGCUGCAUUCGAUACUGGCAGACUUGAAUACGGUAGAGGGGGGUGGAAUUCCAGGUGUAGCGGUGAAAUGCGUAGAGAUCUGGAGGAACACCAGUGGCGAAGGCGGCCCCCUGGACCGAUAUUGACGCUGAGGUACGAAAGCGUGGGGAGCAAACAGGAUUAGAUACCCUAGUAGUCC
rnacentral:rRNA from 1 species